GAUGAACGCUGGCGGCGUGCUUAACACAUGCAAGUCGAACGAUGAAGCCCAGCUUGCUGGGUGGAUUAGUGGCGAACGGGUGAGUAACACGUGAGUAACCUGCCCUUGACUCUGGGAUAAGCCUGGGAAACUGGGUCUAAUACUGGAUAUGACUUCUCAUCGCAUGGUGGGGGGUGGAAAGAUUUAUUGGUCUUGGAUGGACUCGCGGCCUAUCAGCUUGUUGGUGAGGUAAUGGCUCACCAAGGCGACGACGGGUAGCCGGCCUGAGAGGGUGACCGGCCACACUGGGACUGAGACACGGCCCAGACUCCUACGGGAGGCAGCAGUGGGGAAUAUUGCACAAUGGGCGCAAGCCUGAUGCAGCGACGCCGCGUGAGGGAUGACGGCCCUCGGGUUGUAAACCUCUUUCAGUAGGGAAGGAGCGAGAGUGACGGUACCUGCAGAAGAAGCGCCGGCUAACUACGUG
rnacentral:rRNA from 1 species